CUAUAUAGAUAGAAAUAUUUGUUAUUCAUAAUUUGUAGUAAAUUCAGUUUUAUGUUAUAUCAUCAUAGUUGCAGAGAUCUGUGUAAUUAAAGGUAUGAUUCUAUAAUUUUUUUUAUUAUUUAUAUACAACAAUAAUUAUUUAUAUACAACAAUAAUUAUUUAUAUACAACAAUAAUGACCAAAAAAAAAUACACAUUUAUACAACUUUCAUUCAGAAAUUGUGCACAUAUAAAAUUUCUUCUUGCAUAAUCUUCUUUGUGAACAUUUAGCCACAUCUGAGCGCUCUUAAUGAAUAGGUCAUGAAUUGAGAUCAUAUAAGUCUAGGACACAUCUACAUUUUUUGCAUGUGUGCUUAGUGCGUGUUUAUCAAACAUUUCCUAAACUUAGGAAACGUCAAAGAAUCUUCAUAUGAUUAGGACACCGUCUUAUGGUUAUAACUGAAAGAUAUAGUCUAUGGAAGAAAAAAAAACACAGACUCAAAUUCAUUUAUAUAUAUAUAUAUAUAUAUAGUGCAAAUCUGCAUAUACCAUCAUAAGAAGAACCAAUGCAAGUUUCUUGAAUUUCAUAUCAGUUCGUUUUCAUAGAUUCGACGCAAACUUUAACGAUGGAUCGUAUCUUUGUUGGUUUUAAAUUAAGUCGACUUAUCGACUUAAGAAGUAACUUCUCUAGUCGAAAAAUCCACCUGAAGUAAAGGACAUUGUAGUAUCUCCCUCUAUAAACUUUUUAUUAUUUUUUUUUUUUAUAAAUAAUAUUUAUGUUUAGUUGUAAUAUCUUCUUUUUUUUAAAUUUGAAGUUUUCGUAUUCAACCUUUAUAUUCUUAUGCAUCACAAUUCAUUUUAUUUGAAUUUUCUCUGAUAAGUCCAAUUUACUUUGGAACAAUUGAACAUUGUUUCACCCAAUAAAUGUUCAAAGGUUCAAGACAAAACCCCCGUAACAGAUGCAAAUGAUAGAAAUUUACGUUGUAGGUACCAUUUUGAAUCGCAUACAUAUGUAUAUAGCUCACAGCAUUGAUAGUAACUUUGAUAUUGUUUAAUUAAACACAAAAACACGUCCCCUAGCUAUGUACAUACAAUUGGACAGGCAGCAUAUGCUUUGAACAGAUGUUCUUUACACUGAUAUACCCGGUAUAUAAAUUGUAACUUUAUCACUCCAUUCAUUUGAUUUUUUAAUAAAAACAAAAGAUAUAUCGGCAUUUAUAAUACAGCAAUACAAACCACAGUAAGUUUUUUUUUAUAUUAUUUCCAAGAAAUAUGCCAGCUGUUGCUGUGUGAGCUAGCACUUGAAAUAUACGAUUCAAUUUGUAUGCCUAGAAAUAUAGAGUUUAUUUGUUUAACUUUUCCAUGCCAUCGUUCGGAAUAUAAUGUGUUAUUCCAUAUUGGUAUCAUAUUAGUAGGUUUCUCUAUAUGAAUUGGAUUUUGAAUAAAAAAGCUUAUCACAUAUUUGUUACGAAUACGUUGGGUUUUGCAUAUGCAAUAACCUCAAAAUUGCCCGGGGCAAAAAAGAGCAUAUUGAUAUUGUGCCCUGAUUCCAAAUGACGUCACGUCAUUGCGUCCUUAACGACACUUUUGUGAUACAAAAUUUCAGAUUUUACCUGUUAUGUUUCAUUAAAUUGUAAUAAUUGAACUUUCUGUCUCAAUUCUGCAGAAUUUAAAUAUGUGAUAAAUAGAUUAUAACAUGUCUUUUCCAUAUUGGCCCUGGUAUCAUCCCUCGACCCAUAUCGGCCCUCGGCUAAGGCCUCGAGGCGAUAUGGGAGUCUCGGGAUGAUACCAGGGCCCAUAUGAAAAGGCCAUUUAAAUAUACAUAUUCACCUGAGAAAGUGUUAUUCACCGCGCUAAACGUCACGCGCUUUUACAUGCAACGUUAUGGUUAAAUUUUUCAUGUAAAAUUUGUUUUGGUAUAUGUUAUUCAUUAAAUACAUGUUCUUCUCUCGGAAUAUGGAAUAAAACAAUUACUGUCUUUUGUUUCGGUAAAUAUGGGGUUUAAUUGACUUUUUGAAAAACUGAUAUUCACUCGGCCGUGCCUCAGUGAAUAUCAGUUUUUCAAAAGUCAAUAAAACCGCAUAUUUACCUCACCAAAAGACAGUAAUUGUAUAAUAUUUGACGUUUGACGUUAAUCAAUCAUCAAUCAAUAUUUUUACUAAAUGUAUAGAAAUAUAAUCUACAGUGUACCAAUUAAUUUUUACUUAAACUUAUGAGACUGUAAAAAUUGAAUUGAAGCGCGAGAACAAUCUGCUGCCUGAUAUUACUUAUAAAUAUUAUAAUUAUCAAUAUUAUUAUUUCUCGCUUGACGGGGGAAGUAUUUUGGCUGUCAUUCGGUUUAUGGAAAAAAAAUAUCGUGAAGAAAUAACGGUGGUCAAAUAUUGCGAUCGAAUCGUGAAAGAUUUGGUAUCGGACCGCGAAAUCAAUCAAAUACAAUUCAACUUUAAAAUCUGAUUAAAAAUCCAGAAUGUUAGCAAAAAGUAGAACAUAGUCUGUCACAAUGGUUACAUUUUAAUCAGGUUUUUUUUUUAGAGUAUUCAUCGCUCUUACAAAAGUAAGAUUGCUCAGAAUUAUUCUGAUAGAUACAAACCAUGUGAAACAGUUACUACUCUAUGAAUAAUGUAUACUACUGUUUCAAACGGCUCUUAAAAUUAUUUUGAAAACGCUAAAUCUCAAAGCUUGAAAAGAUUAGAAAUUCUAUAUGAAUUAUCUAAAUGUUUUAUUAUGAUAUAUCGAUUAUCGUAUUUUGAUGGUCGUGAAAAGAACUCAGAAAGAUGCCGCUUAUUUGCUUUUGUCAAAAUAGUUAAAAACAUUCAUAUUAUUCGAAUGAAUGUAAACAUAUGAUGAUAGGCAAUUGUAAGUUCGUAUGAGACAUAGUGCCCGGUCAUAUUAUUCUCACUGAAUAUAAAUGUUUGCGGUUAUUAUUUGGUAUCUUUCACCUCCCUUCCUGUUAAAGUAAAUCCAUAAAACGCUAAAUCAGUCAGGACUCUACUUCGUCAAAAUUAUCUCCCCAUUACGCCAGUUCAUUUUCACAAUCGUAGAAAAGGAAGCCAUUGUAGGGAUGACGUGCUGCCAAUUUUGCUCUCGGCAACCGAUAAAUUUAUCCACAUUGCACCAUUACGAUCCUUAUAUGUCAGUUGUAUUUUAAAGGGCAAAUGUAUCAACUAGCUAAUGAGCAUUAGUUAAUGAUCUUGUCUGCAUUGAUUUAACUUAAAACUAUUGUCUGAUCGGUUGUCAGGUGGAAUUUUCGAAAAUUCAUAAACUUUUAAAAAAAUUCUAAUUAAAUAUUUCCUGGAAGGGCAGACUAGAUUUUUUUAGUGGUUGAAGACUAUAAACCCUAGUUUUCACACACAAAAAAUUAUAAUUUUUCGAAGAUAUGCAUUUUCAUCAUCCAACUUGAAAGACUUUCGUCAAGUACUUUCAGUAAAAAAAUAGCUAUUCGAACACACCUACUCUGUUUUUGUGAUUCAUUAGAUAGGUAUUUCACUUGACCCAUAUAUUUCAUCUUUUAGUACUGGGAUUUUUUUAUGUUAUAAAGUCAACCUGUAGCUUUGAUAUAUAAAAAUGAUAGAAUCUGAAGCGAGACGAUGUAUGAAAUAUUAUUGCUUUGUACGAUAUCAAGACAAAAUAUUCAACUCAAACACGUCCGAACAUAAAAAGGUGCACUCGAUUUUCUCUUUUCGAUACAAUUGUUACCCAUUUUUUUGGAAUUUUUUCUUGAGUCACAUAAAGGAAGGGCAGACACGAAAAUUACUGAACUAAUAGAUUGAUAUGUUUUCCGUCCGUGGUAAAAAAUUUUAAAAAAUCGGAGGUUAUGCAUUUUCUACAUCCAACUUGAAAGAUACCCAUGUCGUCGACUUGAUAUCUAAUUGUUCUGCUUAACUAUGUACUAAAUAAAUUGAAAACUUAUGCAAAUGGUGUUUUCAAAAUAAAACACUUCAUAAUUGAGAAGAAAAUUGUAAUUUUGUUUGUUUCUAUUAACUUUUAAAAUUUUUGUCACUAUUGUAAACAUUACAGUAAGCAUUUAUCGCCUUCUCUAACAAAGAGCUUCUAUUCUUUUGUUCUAUUUCAACCUGGUUUCCGACUGAAAUGACUUCUUAAAUAUAUAACGUGCACUUAAACUUAUCAAGUAAAACCAGGCUUCAACUACACAAAUUAAAGAACAUGUAUAUAUCCAUUGGAAAAGAAAUCUAAUCUUAGUGAUUAAGUCUGGUCACGCCUUGAUAUUUCAUGACCAAUUUUGAUUAAAAAAUUAACAAAAUCGUAUAAAAAUUAAUCUGCAUCUUUUCAAGGGAAAACCUUGUACAUUUCACUGUAUCAUCUGACACACUAAAGAUAAAAGUUUCAAAUAUACCAUGACAAAAUAUACAAUGGGAUGUGACCAUUAUUAUAUUUAAAAUGAUUUCUUGAUUAGCAUUGGAUAAUGUGUCGCCUUUGGAAUUUUCUAUAACAAAAAGCAUGUUUUCUCUACCUAAGUGAAUAAUGUUAUUGAGGGGACCAUUAAUUGAACAGACUUAUUUCCAACUUUUAUAAUUCAAAUAUUUUUUUCGUGACGUUGAAUUGAAUUGCUUUCACGAUCUGGUCGAAAUAGUUGAUUACCGUUAAUUUACGACAACGUUUUCAGAUAUACCACCUGCUUUACACAAUUAUAGUAUAAGUUACAUAUUUAUGCUGCGAACAAAAAAAUCCUGUUCUUUAAGUCCUAAGUAUCCAGUAUGAGAGGAUAAAUAUUCUGACUCAUAAACUGUCUACAUUUCCAGGUCUUCCAAAGUUUCCACGACUGAAAUAUUUACAUCUUCCAUGUCUAUCAAUUUACACACGACUAAAACAUUCACAUCUCAGGUCGAUCGAAGAAUCCACGACUGAAACUACAAAUGUAUAUAUAUCUUUCAGAUCCAUCAAAUGCUCUUCAUCUUCUAACCGAGGGUUUUUGCUCGAAACUAUCAAAGUCUUUCAGUUCUAUCAAAAUAUCAAUAGAAACCUUGGAAAAGUAAAUAUUAGUAUACGUAUUGAAUACUGGGUUAUAAGACCUAAUACUAUUCUAUCAUUAUUUUGUUUUUGUUUUUUAGAAAUGGCUAUGAAGAUUAUUUUGUUUACCCUUGCUGUAACCUUCACUUACUUGAAUCUGGUAAGUUCCGAAGAAGCAACAUGCUCAACGAAAUUCGAAGGUAAAGAAGUUGAGAUUAAAUAUGGUGAUACAGUUUGGCUGAACCCCUGCCUCUUUUGUUGGUGCUAUCAAGACACUAAGGAAGCCGGAUGUAACACUGUAGACUGUCCGACAUGGAGUUGUGAUGACGGCCUCCAACUGACAUAUCUGGACGGACAAUGUUGUCCAUCUUGUCUUCCAACUGAUCAGUGAUUUUAUUUAUGUUAUAAUUGACAAGACAUUAUGACUGCAUGAAUUUGCAUUAAAAUGUUUCACCUUGUUUCACUUUCAAUAAAAUACUAUAUGAAUGAA
rnacentral:lncRNA from 1 species